UAAGGGCGCACGGUGGAUGCCUUGGCACUAGAAGCCGAUGAAGGACGUUACUAACGACGAUAUGCUUUGGGGAGCUGUAAGUAAGCUUUGAUCCAGAGAUUUCCGAAUGGGGAAACCCAGCAUGAGUUAUGUCAUGUUAUCGAUAUGUGAAUACAUAGCAUAUCAGAAGGCACACCCGGAGAACUGAAACAUCUUAGUACCCGGAGGAAGAGAAAGAAAAUUCGAUUCCCUUAGUAGCGGCGAGCGAAACGGGAAGAGCCCAAACCAACAAGCUUGCUUGUUGGGGUUGUAGGACACUCUAUACGGAGUUACAAAGGACGACAUUAGACGAAUCAUCUGGAAAGAUGAAUCAAAGAAGGUAAUAAUCCUGUAGUCGAAAAUGUUGUCUCUCUUGAGUGGAUCCUGAGUACGACGGAGCACGUGAAAUUCCGUCGGAAUCUGGGAGGACCAUCUCCUAAGGCUAAAUACUCUCUAGUGACCGAUAGUGAACCAGUACCGUGAGGGAAAGGUGAAAAGCACCCCGGAAGGGGAGUGAAAUAGAACCUGAAACCGUGUGCUUACAAGUAGUCAGAGCCCGUUAAUGGGUGAUGGCGUGCCUUUUGUAGAAUGAACCGGCGAGUUACGAUUUGAUGCAAGGUUAAGCAGUAAAUGUGGAGCCGUAGCGAAAGCGAGUCUGAAUAGGGCGUUUAGUAUUUGGUCGUAGACCCGAAACCAGGUGAUCUACCCUUGGUCAGGUUGAAGUUCAGGUAACACUGAAUGGAGGACCGAACCGACUUACGUUGAAAAGUGAGCGGAUGAACUGAGGGUAGCGGAGAAAUUCCAAUCGAACCUGGAGAUAGCUGGUUCUCUCCGAAAUAGCUUUAGGGCUAGCCUCAAGUGAUGAUUAUUGGAGGUAGAGCACUGUUUGGACGAGGGGCCCCUCUCGGGUUACCGAAUUCAGACAAACUCCGAAUGCCAAUUAAUUUAACUUGGGAGUCAGAACAUGGGUGAUAAGGUCCGUGUUCGAAAGGGAAACAGCCCAGACCACCAGCUAAGGUCCCAAAAUAUAUGUUAAGUGGAAAAGGAUGUGGCGUUGCCCAGACAACUAGGAUGUUGGCUUAGAAGCAGCCAUCAUUUAAAGAGUGCGUAAUAGCUCACUAGUCGAGUGACACUGCGCCGAAAAUGUACCGGGGCUAAACAUAUUACCGAAGCUGUGGAUUGUCCUUUGGACAAUGGUAGGAGAGCGUUCUAAGGGCGUUGAAGCAUGAUCGUAAGGACAUGUGGAGCGCUUAGAAGUGAGAAUGCCGGUGUGAGUAGCGAAAGACGGGUGAGAAUCCCGUCCACCGAUUGACUAAGGUUUCCAGAGGAAGGCUCGUCCGCUCUGGGUUAGUCGGGUCCUAAGCUGAGGCCGACAGGCGUAGGCGAUGGAUAACAGGUUGAUAUUCCUGUACCACCUAUAAUCGUUUUAAU
rnacentral:rRNA from 1 species